rnacentral:rRNA from 1 species
UACGGAGGGGGCUAGCGUUGUUCGGAAUUACUGGGCGUAAAGCGCACGUAGGCGGCUUUGCAAGUUAGAGGUGAAAGCCCGGGGCUCAACUCCGGAAUUGCCUUUAAAACUGCAUCGCUAGAAUUGUGGAGAGGUAAGUGGAAUUCCGAGUGUAGAGGUGAAAUUCGUAGAUAUUCGGAGGAACACCAGAAGCGAAGGCGGCUCACUGGCCCGAUACUGACGCUGAGGCGCGAAAGCGUGGGGAGCAAACAGG